GUGAUUCUGAGGAGGAGUUCGAAGAAACGUGGUCCUUAAUGAUUGAGUUGGGAGAAUUACAAAACAAUGUUUGGUUAGAUGAAAUGUAUUGUAUAAGACAUAAAUUGUCAACAACAUUUAAUAAGGAUAUAUUCAGUAUGAGAAUCUUAUCAACACAGAGAAGUGAGUCGACCAAUAAUGUUUGUUAUGGUGUUUCAAAGCCAACUAGCUCUCUCAUGAAUUGUUUUAUCGGUUUUGAAAACAUAAUGAAAUCAUAGCGCCGUAAUAAGAAAAAUGAAGAUUUCAAAUGCGUUCAGUCCGUCAGAACGCCCAUGUUUAAAAUCUAUCCCAUGCUGAGUCAAGCUGCCUCAUUUUAUACAAGGAAUCUUUACUCAAUGUUUGAACAAGAGCUAUUAAAUGACUUAUGUGGGCUUACAUCUGAAGUAUCAGUGAAGAGUGAGGCUAAAUAUUACAUAUCAAGAUUGGAUGAUGAGGGGACAAGACAACCCUGGAAUGUGUUAGUUGACAAUGUUACUUGUGAGGUUACAUGUAGUUGCAAAAAAAUUGAGAUGAUGGGGCUAUUGUGCUCCCAUGCUUUAUUUGUUCUAAGUUUUGCAAAAAUAAAGGUGAUUCCGAAGAAAUAUUUCUUAUUGCGGUGGUCCUUCAAUGCUAAAAGGGACAUGUAUAACAGAUUUGGGUGCAGAGAGCUAAAAGACCCAGACUUUAAUAAUGUUUAUUCAAGUUCCCUUAUAUUCAGUUCAUGCUCUCAGAAAUUUGCAUAUCAACUCAUUAAUAGAGCACAAGAAAAUAAGUUAGUUGAAGAGUGUUUGUGGGAGACGUUUAAAAAGUUAUCUGAAGAUAUUGAGGAUACUCUAACAGGGAGAACGAUCGAAGUACAAAAACCAAAAAAGAAGCAGAAAAUCACAAAUAUAAAAUGCAAUGUGAACGACCCUGCUAAAAAAAGGCCGAAAGGAGUAUCUACAUCUAGGCUAAAAGGAUAUUGAGAGAAAAAUAAGAAAGCUAAAAGAAUGAAACAGGAAGCAGCAAGUUGCCGUCGAGUCGUGGACGCAUUCGAGCAAAUUUUGACAGAUUGCCUUACCCAGGAAUACUAUGCACCGCAAUUAAGUGAAACGCACACUGAACUUUUGAUGGAUUCCAUAAGUGAGAAUAUAGAUUGAUUGAUAUUGUAAAAGUUGGUAUACUGUAUCAUCUGUAAACUUUUUACGAAAGAAGUAAUUGGUGGUUUAUAACAUGUUUUUGUUCAAAUAUUUUUGUCUUACACUUGU